GAUGAACGCUGGCGGCGUGCCUAACACAUGCAAGUCGAACGAAGCACUUUCUUUAGAUUCUUCGGAUGAAGAAGACUGUGACUGAGUGGCGGACGGGUGAGUAACGCGUGGGCAACCUGCCCUGUACAGGGGGAUAACAGUUAGAAAUGACUGCUAAUACCGCAUAAGCGCACGAGGACGCAUGUUCUUGUGUGAAAAACUCCGGUGGUACAGGAUGGGCCCGCGUCUGAUUAGGUAGUUGGUGGGGCAGCGGCCUACCAAGCCGACGAUCAGUAGCCGACCUGAGAGGGUGACCGGCCACAUUGGGACUGAGACACGGCCCAAACUCCUACGGGAGGCAGCAGUGGGGAAUAUUGCACAAUGGGGGAAACCCUGAUGCAGCGACGCCGCGUGAAGGAAGAAGUAUUUCGGUAUGUAAACUUCUAUCAGCAGGGAAGAAACUGACGGUACCUGACUAAGAAGCACCGGCUAAAUACGUGCCAGCAGCCGCGGUAAUACGUAUGGUGCAAGCGUUAUCCGGAUUUACUGGGUGUAAAGGGAGCGUAGACGGAGAGGCAAGUCUGAAGUGAAAGCCCGGGGCUCAACCCCGGGACUGCUUUGGAAACUGCAGUUCUAGAGUGCCGGAGAGGUAAGCGGAAUUCCUAGUGUAGCGGUGAAAUGCGUAGAUAUUAGGAGGAACACCAGUGGCGAAGGCGGCUUACUGGACGGUGACUGACGUUGAGGCUCG
rnacentral:rRNA from 1 species